rnacentral:rRNA from 1 species
UACAGAGGGGGCAAGCGUUGUUCGGAAUUACUGGGCGUAAAGGGCGCGUAGGCGGCCUUCUAAGUCGAACGUGAAAUCCCCGGGCUCAACCCGGGAACUGCGUCCGAUACUGGAAGGCUUGAAUCCGGGAGAGGGAUGCGGAAUUCCAGGUGUAGCGGUGAAAUGCGUAGAUAUCUGGAGGAACACCGGUGGCGAAGGCGGC